UUUCUCUUGCGCAGCUAUAAUGCAGUCGAGCGAAUGGAUUAAGAGCUUGCUCUUAUGAAGUUAGCGGCGGACGGGUGAGUAACACGUGGGUAACCUGCCCAUAAGACUGGGAUAACUCCGGGAAACCGGGGCUAAUACCGGAUAACAUUUUGAACCGCAUGGUUCGAAAUUGAAAGGCGGCUUCGGCUGUCACUUAUGGAUGGACCCGCGUCGCAUUAGCUAGUUGGUGAGGUAACGGCUCACCAAGGCAUCGAUGCGUAGCCGACCUCGAGAGGGUGAUCGGCCACACUGUGACUGAGACACGGCUCAGACUCCUACGGGAGGCAGCAGGUAGGGAAUCUUCCGCAAUGGACGAAAGUCUGACGGAGCAACGCCGCGUGAGUGAUGAAGGCUUUCGGGUCGUAAAACUCUGUUGUUAGGGAAGAACAAGUGCUAGUUGAAUAAGCUGGCACCUUGACGGUACCUAACUAGAAAGCCACGGCUAACUACGUGCCAGCAGCCGCGGUUAUACGUAGGUGGCAAGCGUUAUCCGGAAUUAUUGGGCGUAAAGCGCGCGCAGGUGGUUUCUUAAGUCUGAUGUGAAAGCCCACGGCUCAACCGUGGAGGGUCAUUGGAAACUGGGAGACUUGAGUGCAGAAGAGGAAAGUGGAAUUCCAUGUUGUAGCGGUGAAAUGCGUAGAGAUAUGGAGGAACACCAGUGGCGAAGGCGACUUUUCUGGUCUGUACCUGACACUGAGGCGCGGAAGCGGUGGGGAGCAAACCAGGAUUAGAAUACCCUGGUAGUCCACGCCGUAAACGAUGAGUGCUAAGUUUUAGAGGGUUUUCCGCCCUUUAGUGCUGAAGUUACCGCAUUAAGCACUCCGCCUGGGGGAGUACGGCCGCAAGGGCUGAAACUCAAAGGAAUUUACGGGGGGCCGCACCAGCGGUGGAGCAUGUUGGUUUAAUUCCGAAGCAACGCGGAAGACCCUUACCCGGUUCUUGAACAUCCUUCUGGCCACCCUAGGGAUUGGGCCUUUUCUUUCGGGAGCCGAAGUGCCAGGUGGGUGCAUGGGUUGUGGUCAGCUUGUGUUGGUGAGAUGUUUGGGUUUAAGUCCCGCCACGAAGCGCCACCCUUUGAUCUUUAGUUUGCCCAUCCAUUUAGUUGGGCCAUUUUACGGUGGCCUGCCGGUGCCAACCCGGAGGAUGUGGGGGAUGACGUUCAAUUCAUCCAUGCCCCUUAAUGACCUGGGGUUCACCCCGGUGCUUCCAAUGGAACCGUUACCAAGAAGCUUGCCAAGCCCGGCAGUUGCAGUUAUUUUCAUAAAGCCCCGUUUUCCAUUUGGAAUGGUGGGUGCCAAUUCCCUUCCAGGAAGCGGGAUUCGUUGGUAUUCGGGGUUCACCAUCCCCCGGGGAAUCGUUUCCCGGCCUUGGACCCCCCCCCCGUUCCCCCCAGGAAAUUUGGUACCCCCGGAAUUGGGUGGGGUACCUUUUUGGAGCCAGCCGCCUAAGGUGGGACAGAUGAUGGGGGAAGUCGAACAAGUGGAUUUGG
rnacentral:rRNA from 1 species